GGAUUAGAUACCCUGGUAGUCCACGCCCUAAACGAUGUCUACUAGUUGUUGGUGGAGUAAAAUCCAUGAGUAACGCAGCUAACGCGUGAAGUAGACCGCCUGGGGAGUACGGUCGCAAGAUUAAAACUCAAAGGAAUUGACGGGGGCCCGCACAAGCGGUGGAUUAUGUGGAUUAAUUCGAUGCAACGCGAAAAACCUUACCUGGCCUUGACAUGCCACUAACGAAGCAGAGAUGCAUUAGGUGCCCGUAAGGGAAAGUGGACACAGGUGCUGCAUGGCUGUCGUCAGCUCGUGCC
rnacentral:rRNA from 1 species